GGAGUGAAAACACCGGGCUUAACUCGGUGCUUGCUUUCGAUACGGGCAGACUAGAGGUAUGCAGGGGAGAAUGGAAUUCCUGGUGUAGCGGUGAAAUGCGCAGAUAUCAGGAGGAACACCGGUGGCGAAGGCGGUUCUCUGGGCAUUACCUGACGCUGAGGAGCGAAAGUGUGGGGAGCGAACAGGAUUAGAUACCCUGGUAGUCCACACCGUAAACGUUGGGCGCUAGGUGUGGGGCCUAUUCCAUGGGUUCCGUGCCGUAGCUAACGCAUUAAGCGCCCCGCCUGGGGAGUACGGCCGCAAGGCUAAAACUCAAAGGAAUUGACGGGGGCCCGCACAAGCGGCGGAGCAUGCGGAUUAAUUCGAUGCAACGCGAAGAACCUUACCUGGGUUUGACAUACACCGGAAGCCUCUAGAGAUAGAGGUCUCUUUGAUACUGGUGUACAGGUGGUGCAUGGCUGUCGUCAGCUCGUGCCGUGAGAUGUUGGGUUAAGUCCCGCAACGAGCGCAACCCUCGUUCCAUGUUGCCAGCACGUAAUGGUGGGGACUCAUGGGAGACUGCCGGGGUCAACUCGGAGGAAGGUGGGGAUGACGUCAAGUCAUCAUGCCCCUUAUGUCCAGGGCUUCACGCAUGCUACAAUGGCCGGUACAAAGGGCUGCGAUCCCGUGAGGGGGAGCGAAUCCCAAAAAGCCGGUCUCAGUUCGGAUUGGGGUCUGCAACUCGACCCCAUGAAGUCGGAGUCGCUAGUA
rnacentral:rRNA from 1 species